GUGAACGCCCUCACGGGCUUAUACUAUUCCAAACCUCUGUGAACCGUGCCCUUCGGGGCUAUUUUACAAACAUGGUGUAAUGAACGUCAUAUCAUAACAAAAACA
rnacentral:misc_RNA from 1 species